rnacentral:rRNA from 1 species
AUUGAACGCUGGCGGCAGGCCUAACACAUGCAAGUCGAGCGAGAGGCGGAAGGGUGAGAAUAGUCUGGGAAAAUGUCCGAUGGAGGGGGAUAUAUAUUGGAAAAGGUAGCGCAUAUAGCACACCAUCAGAGGUGCACAGAUGGGAUCAGCUAGUGGGUGGGGUAACGGCUCACAUAGGCGACGCUCCCUAGAUGGUCUGAGAGGAUGACCAGCCACACUGGCACUGAGACACGGUCCAGACUCCUACGGGAGGCAGCAGUGGGGAAUAUUGCACAAUGGGCGCAAGCCUGAUGCAGCCAUGCCGCGUGUGUGAAGAAGGCCUUCGGGUUGUAAAGCACUUUCAGCGGGGAGGCGUUACCCGCAGAAGAAGCACCGGCUAACUCCGUGCCAGCCGCCGCGGUAAUAC